GGAGGGAUGGCUGAGAGGCCUAUAGCGCCCGCCUGAUAAGCGGGUACACCGGCAACGGUGUCGCGGGUUUGAAUCCCGCUCCCUAUUC
rnacentral:tRNA from 1 species